rnacentral:rRNA from 1 species
AAAAACAUUUCCUCUUGGUAUAAGAGGUAAGGCCUGCUCACUGACUAGGUUGAAGAGCCGCAGUAUAUUGACUGUGCUAAGGUAGCAUAAUCAUUAGUCCUUUAAUUGGGGACUGGUAUGAAUGGCUAAACGAGAAAUUAGCUUUCUUUGUUAUGGUUUGUUGAAUUUAACUUGUAAGUGAAAAGGCUUACAUGAUUCAGAAAGACGAGAAGACCCUAUAGAGUUUUACAAAGGCCUAAAAUACAGCUUAUUAGUUUUUAAGGGUUAUAUUUUGGAAAUUUGUUUGGUUGGGGCGACAUAAAGAUAAAAAAAACUCUUUGUAGUAUAAACUUUGGUGGAAGAAAAGGUUUGAUCCUUUAAAAGGGAUUAUAAGAAAAAAUUACCUUAGGGAUAACAGCGUAAUCUUCUUUUAGAGUUCAAAUCGACAAGAAGGUUUGCGACCUCGAUGUUGGACUAAAAUUUGGGCAAGGUGCAGCAGCUUUGUUUUUGGGUCUGUUCGACCCGUAAUAUUUUACAUGAUCUGAGUU